AAGGCAGUACGUACGAAGGGCACUAUUGGCAACAACAAAACAAUAAAAAUAGAAAAUAAAAUGAAAUAAAAUGGAAAAUAAAAGGGCACGAUGACAGCUCGAUUCUUCAUGGCACGCGGAGGAGAUACGUUUGCAUUGUAUUGUGGAACUAGACGAAGGAAGAGAAUGAGGAAAUGCUUCAUUAAUAAGCAUGCUAUAUAAACGCUCUCAUCUCUUCAGCGUGCGCACCAGGCGUUUGUGCUAAUGCCCGAAAUAAAUUAAUUGCAACCCCUGAGGGAAGCAGGGAGUCGGCAUCAUUACGGAUUCACAAUGCUUCUGGCAGGAUUUACACAGUUCAGCAAGACAUUCGAAGAAGCGCCGACCUGUUUGUGUUUUGUCCGACAACGCAAGCAUGUAGCCUGAUCGCAAAACGCAUGAACUCAGAACACAUAACAACAACAACAACAACAACAACAACAACAACAGUAGCAUCAACAGAAACAAAAACGAUUAUCUACCCUCGCCAAAACAACAAAUACAGAGAGUCAAAGAAGGCAAAUUCCAGAUAGCGAAUAAGCAGAACAUGAUUUCUCUGCUUUCAGAGUAAGCAGCAAAUGAAACCUACACCUAUCAAGCAUACUUACGAGG